rnacentral:lncRNA from 1 species
UGCUGAAUAUAUGAACUAAGCCUAGGAGGAGCUCGAACACUACAUAUAUAGGCUAUACUACUUAGGAGCUUAUCACAAUUACAAUAGAUGUUUUGAAAGAUUCUCGCAUUCCUUUCUAACCAUAAACCAUAGAGCAUUUCUGUUAUUGUCAUCUUGAAUGUGUGAGCUCGGAGAGAUUUUCCUUUAGAUUGUUCAAUGAACCAUUGGCAGAAUUGUGACCAAUCUUGUCCAGUGAAGUCUGCCACUCCUAGCCAUUGCAGUGUCUGGUAUCUCAACUGGNNN